rnacentral:rRNA from 1 species
UACAGAGGUCUCAAGCGUUGUUCGGAUUCAUUGGGCGUAAAGGGUGCGUAGGCGGCGCGGUAAGUCGGGUGUGAAAUCUUGGAGCUUAACUCCGAAACUGCAUUCGAUACUGCGGUGCUUGAGGACUAGAGAGGAGACUGGAAUUCAUGGUGUAGCAGUGAAAUGCGUAGAUAUCUGGAGGAACACCGGUGGCGAAGGCGGCAUCCUGGACCAACACUGACGCUGAGUGAGCGAAAGCCAGGGGAGCAAACGGG